UACGUAGGGUGCGAGCGUUGUCCGGAAUUAUUGGGCGUAAAGAGCUCGUAGGCGGUCUGUCACGUCGGAUGUGAAAGCCCGGGGCUUAACCCCGGGUCUGCAUUCGAUACGGGCAGACUAGAGUGUGGUAGGGGAGAUCGGAAUUCCUGGUGUAGCGGUGGAAUGCGCAGAUAUCAGGAGGAACACCGGUGGCGAAGGCGGUUCUCUGGGCAUUACCUGACGCUGAGGAGCGAAAGUGUGGGGAGCGAACAGG
rnacentral:rRNA from 1 species